AGGACGAACGCUGGCGGCGUGCUUAACACAUGCAAGUCGAACGGAAAGGCCCUUCGGGGUACUCGAGUGGCGAACGGGUGAGUAACACGUGGGUGAUCUGCCCCGCACUUUGGGAUAAGCCUGGGAAACUGGGUCUAAUACCGAAUAGGACCAUGGGAUGCAUGUCCUGUGGUGGAAAGCUUUUGCGGUGUGGGAUGGGCCCGCGGCCUAUCAGCUUGUUGGUGGGGUUAAGGCCUACCAAGGCGACGACGGGUAGCCGGCCUGAGAGGGUGUCCGGCCACACUGGGACUGAGAUACGGCCCAGACUCCUACGGGAGGCAGCAGUGGGGAAUAUUGCACAAUGGGCGCAAGCCUGAUGCAGCGACGCCGCGUGGGGAUGACGGCCUUCGGUUGUAACCUCUUUCAGUAGGACGAAGCGCAGUGACGGUACCUACAGAAGAAGCACCGGCCACUACGCGCCACGCAGCCGC
rnacentral:rRNA from 1 species